rnacentral:rRNA from 1 species
GACGAACGCUGGCGGCGUGCUUAACACAUGCAAGUCGAACGGUGAAGCGAGUGCUUGCACUCGUGGAUCAGUGGCGAACGGGUGAGUAACACGUGAGUAACCUGCCCAUCACUCUGGGAUAAGCACUGGAAACGGUGUCUAAUACUGGAUACGACCAACCCUUGCAUGGGGUGUUGGUGGAAAGAUUUAUCGGUGAUGGAUGGACUCGCGGCCUAUCAGCUUGUUGGCGGGUUAAUGGCCCACCAAGGCGACGACGGGUAUCCGGCCUGAGAGGGUGACCGGCCACACUGGGACUGAGACACGGCCCAGACUCCUACGGGAGGCAGCAGUGGUGAAUAUUGCACAAUGGGCGAAAGCCUGAUGCCGCGACGCCGCGUGCGGGAUGACGGCCUUCCGGUUGUAAACCUCUUUCAGCAGGGAAGAAGCGAAAGUGACGGUACCUGCAGAAGAAGCACCGGCUAACUACGUG